UACGUAGGGGGCGAGCGUUGUCCGGAUUUAUUGGGCGUAAAGAGCUCGUAGGCGGUUUGGCAAGUCGGGUGUGAAAAACUCCGGGCUCAACUCGGAGACGCCACUCGAUACUGCUAUGACUCGAGUCCGGUAGGGGAGUGCGGAAUUCCUGGUGUAGCGGUGAAAUGCGCAGAUAUCAGGAGGAACACCGGUGGCGAAGGCGGCACUCUGGGCCGGUACUGACGCUGAGGAGCGAAAGCGUGGGGAGCGAACAGG
rnacentral:rRNA from 1 species